rnacentral:rRNA from 1 species
CCGAAAGACCAAGGGUUCCUGCGCAACGUUAAUCGACGCAGGGUGAGUCGGUCCCUAAGGCGAGGCUGAAGAGCGUAGUCGAUGGGAAACGGGUUAAUAUUCCCGUACUUCUAGUUACUGCGAUGGGGGGACGGAGAAGGCUAGGCCAGCAAGGCGUUGGUUGUCCUUGUUUAAGGUGGUAGGCAGAGAUCUUAGGUAAAUCCGGGGUCUUAAUGCCGAGAGCUGAUGACGAGCUUUCUUGUAGAAAGCGAAGUGGUUGAAGCCAUGCUUCCAGGAAAAGCCUCUAAGCUUCAGGUAACUAGGAACCGUACCCCAAACCGACACAGGUGGUUGGGUAGAGAAUACCAAGGCGCUUGAGAGAACUCGGGUGAAGGAACUAGGCAAAAUGGCACCGUAACUUCGGGAGAAGGUGCGCCGGUGAGGGUGAAGUAUUUACUACGUAAGCCCAUGCCGGUCGAAGAUACCAGGCCGCUGCGACUGUUUAUUAAAAACACAGCACUCUGCAAA